CCACCAAAUAUGACUACCCAAGGAGAACUUCAGACUCAGCCAAGUGCCAUUAUUGAUCGACGGAUCGUGACUCGACGACGACGAUCCACUACUGAAUUGCUAAUACGGUGGGCAAACCUACUAACAGAAGAUGCCACUUGGGAGAACUAUGAUGACUUGAAGAUCAAAUUCUCAAAAUUCAUGAAUCGUCAGCCUUGAGGACAAGGCUGAUUUGAAGAGGGCGGGUUUGUUAGGACUCUAGCUAGGAGAGUCCUAAUUGAGAGGGACAUUCUUGUAAAACCUACCUAAGCCGACCCCUAUUAAAGAGGUGAAGUGGCCGGCUAGGGUUAGGAGGUUAUUUCUUAGAGAAGAAUAAGGAG
rnacentral:lncRNA from 1 species